GCAGGCUAAGCCAUGCGAGUCAUUGUAGCAAUACAAGGCAGACGGCUCAGUAACGCGUAGUCAAUCUACCCUAUGGACGGGAAUAACCUCGGGAAACUGAGAAUAAUGCCCGAUAGAACAUUAUGCCUGGAAUGGUUUAUGUUUCAAAUGAUUUAUCGCCAUAGGAUGGGACUGCGGUCUAUCAGUUUGUUGGUGAGGUAAUGGCCCACCAAGACUAUUACAGGUACGGGCUCUGAGAGGAGUAGCCCGGAGAUGGGUACUGAGACACGGACCCAGGCCCUAUGGGGCGCAGCAGGCGAGAAAACUUUGCAAUGUGCGAAAGCACGACAAGGUUAAUCCGAGUGGUUUCUGCUAAAGAAACCUUUUGUCAGUCCUAGAAACACUGACGAAUAAGGGGUGGGCAAGUUCUGGUGUCAGCCGCCGCGGUAAAACCAGCACCUCAAGUGGUCAGGAUGAUUAUUGGGCCUAAAGCAUCCGUAGCUCGUUUUGUAAGUUUUCGGUUAAAUCCAUGCGCUUAACGUAUGGGCUGCCGGGAAUACUGCAUAACUAGGAAGUGGGAGAGGUAGACGGUACUCGGUAGGAAGGGGUAAAAUCCUUUGGUCUAUUGAUGACCACCUGUGGCGAAGGCGGUCUACCAGAACACGUUCGACGGUGAGGGAUGAAAGCUGGGGGAGCAAACCGGAUUAGAUACCCGGGUAGUCCCAGCUGUAAACUAUGCAAACUCAGUGAUGCAUUGGCUUGUGGCCAAUGCAGUGCUGCAGGGAAGCCGUUAAGUUUGCCGCCUGGGAAGUACGUACGCAAGUAUGAAACUUAAAGGAAUUGGCGGGGGAGCACCACAAGGGGUGAAGCCUGCGGUUCAAUUGGAGUCAACGCCAGAAAUCUUACCCGGAGAGACAGCAGAAUGAAGGUCAAGCUGAAGACUUUACCAGACAAGCUGAGAGGAGGUGCAUGGCCACAC
rnacentral:rRNA from 1 species